CUUCUGCAAUGGGGGGCAGGGAAAUCAUAAAAUAACUAUGAAUUCAUUUUGUUUUUUAAAUGUUUCAUCAAUCUAAAAUAUUUUUUAAAUUAUUGAUUCCCAACAUAGCCAAGCCAAUAUUUUCCUCCUAGCAAAGAAAAGGAAAAAUAAAAAAAAGAUUACAUCCAACUGAACAGAAAUUGGUUAUGAAUAUGAUGCCACUGAAAAUAGUCAUUUCAGAGCUUCUCUACAGAAAAAGUCCACUUCAACAGUUCUAACUUUCUUUAUAUCAUUUAGUUGUCAAAUAAAAUCCUCGGCAUACUCUUUUAUUUCCUUUGAACUCUAGCCAAUUCCUUUAGAAUAUUUAUUGUAUCUGUUGAAGGACAUUCACAUUAAAACAGGUCAACAAUAGGCUUCAUGGUGCAGUGGAAACGAAUCUGACUAGCAUCCAUGAGGACGCAGGUUCAAACCCUGGCCUUGCUCAAUGGGUUAGGGAUCCAGCGUUGCCAUGAGCUGUGGUGUAGGUCGAAGAUGUGUCUUGGAUCCUGCGUUGCUGUGGCUCUGGCAUAGGCCAGCAGCUGUAGCUCCAAUUGGACCCCUAGCCUGGGACCCUCCAUAUGCCCCAGGUGCUGCCCUGCCAAAAAAGGUCAACAAUUUACAUUCAGAAAGUCAAAAAACACCAUGGAUGUGUAAUCAACAAAGACAAGUGAGGCCACCCAGAGUGUGUGGGAUGUGCUUUGUAAGUUGACUUAGACCCGUGCACUGUGUGAACAAAUUAAAAUUUCCAUAAAAGCAAGUCAUCUUGACAUUCCCAGGGACGUACCAUGUGAGGACUCAGGACGCCGGCAGAUCCAGGGAUAGAAACCAGGGAGGAAAGGGCCAUCGUCAUCCUGGGGAGGAUAUUUCACAGUGUAUAUUUCACUUCAAUUAUCUCCUUGCUUCCUGUGGACAUGUGAUGUAUUCCUGCUUUCAAGAAACCUCCUCAGUUUCCAGUAAGAAGCUGAAGGAAGGCUGAGACGCCCACAUCCAGAUGUCCAAGAUCCCAGACACAGGCAUCUGUGAAAAUACAAGUGAUACCGUUUUCUGGUUUCCAGUUUUAGUUGAGGAAAAUCAUGCUUUCCAUAGUUCCCAUCCAUGUAGUGGCUAUAGCCCUUUCAAUUUUGUCUUUUAAAGUUUAAAGUGCCAGGAAUAUUAUAAACCAAUGAGCCAAUUUUUUUUUAAUUUUUAUUAUUAUUAUUAUUUUGUAUUUUUGCCUUUUCUAGGGCCACUCCCGUGGCAUAUGGAGGUUCUUAGGCUAGGGGUCUAAUCAGAGCUGUAGCUGCCGGCCUACACCAUAGCCACAGCAACACCAGAUCCAUAACCCACUGAGCAAGGCCAGGGAUCGAACCUGCAACCUCAUGCUUCCUAGUCGGAUUCAUUUCCACUGCUCCACGAAGGGAACUCCAAGAAAUAAAAUUCUUUUUAAAAGUACCGUUCCACACAUAGUAACUAUGCCCCACAUCCCUGAGAGGAAGAUUUAGUAAAACAAUCCAAAUUUCAAAUAACUCAAAAUCUCAGAAAGUAAACACAUUUUUCCCAGAGAAGAAAAGACAAAUACACAGAGAAGCAAAUCUAUAGUCAAAAAAUUGCAGUCUGAAGCCUUGAGGCUAAUACAGUGUCAGGAGCUUAUUCAGAAAAAUAUGGUCUCAUUGGGGGAGACCAUAUUUGGUGACCAAUAAAUAUGGACCCUGGGGGUUUCACAAGUCCAGACUCUCUCUGUGCCUGUAGUGGACACUGUCAUCUUGCUGCACAGAAUCCUUUCCACCGUCUUCCUACCAACUUAGAUUGAGCUCCCCCAUAAAGUGAGGAUUUAGGGGCUAGGAGUUUGUUUGAGAGGUGAGAUGAGGAAAUAUUGGUAAGAGUGAGAGGACGUGACACAGGAAGGGAAGUCAAUACAGAAGGUGUUAAUGAGCAAAUUAUCCCUACAGAUAAUGAGCUCGGAACCCCUGAGAACCUAAAGGAGAAACUUCAGACUUUUCCCACCAAGGGGCAAUGUCUGUUCUCGUCCAUCAGUGACUGAGGCUUUCUCUGGAGCAUCCCAGAUGUGCUUUUCAGUCUGCCUCCCAUGCAAGCCAAGCAAGUUCUUGUGAAAUCCCCCCAGAGAAAGCAAAUCUCAAAAAAAAAUGUUCUCAGAUAGAGAGAGAGAGAAAAGCAUACAUUUGCCUAGGAAGUUAUCAGGGUGCAUCGGAAACUCCCAACAGGAGUUCCUAUCGUGGCUCGGCGGUUAACGAACCAUGAGGAUGCAGGUUUGAUCCCUGGCCUUGUUCAGUGGGUUAAGGAUCUGACAUUGUUGUGAGCUGUGAUGUAGGUCGCAGAUGCCACUCAGAUCUGGCGUUGCUGUGGUUGGGGCGUAGGCUGGCAGCUGUAGCUCUCAUUGGACCCUUAGCCUGGGAAACUCCAUAUGCCCCAGGUGCAGCCCUAAAAAGAAAAAAAGAAAGAAAUGAAUGAGGCAUCACCACAUGGACUUUGAAAGCAAACGUCCAGUUAACGAAGGGGACAGGUUGGGGUAGGAGGAGGGUUGGACUGGAGGUUUGGGCUUGGCCUAUGCACACUGUGGUAUAUGGAAUGACCAACCAGCCAACAGGGAUCUGCUGCAGAGCACAGAGAACUCUACCCAAUAUUCUAUGAUAAUCUAUGUGGGAAAAGUCUCUGAAAAAGAAUGGAUAUAUAUAUGUGUAUAACUGAAUC
rnacentral:lncRNA from 1 species